GAGGAAUAUUGGUCAAUGGGCGGAAGCCUGAACCAGCCAUGCCGCGUGCAGGAAGACGGCCCUAUGGGUUGUAAACUGCUUUUGCACGGGAAGAAUAACCCCCUCGUGAGGGGGGAUGCCGGUACCGUGCGAAUAAGGAUCGGCUAACUCCGUGCCAGCAGCCGCGGUAAUACGGAGGAUCCGAGCGUUAUCCGGAUUUACUGGGUUUAAAGGGUGCGUAGGCGGGCGCCUAAGUCAGCGGUGAAAUGCAGCGGCUCAACCGUUGAACUGCCGUUGAAACUGGGCGCCUUGGAUUCGGUCGAGGUUGGCGGAAUGCGUGGUGUAGCGGUGAAAUGCUUAGAUAUCACGCGGAACGCCGAUUGCGAAGGCAGCUGACCAGGCCUGAAUCGACGCUGAUGCACGAAAGCGUGGGGAUCAAAC
rnacentral:rRNA from 1 species